UUCCAUUCAAAGUUCUGUAAUUUCCACACUGUGUUCAGAGUGUCAGCAGCUGUACAGUGAGUCGGAACACGACAACAGCCUGCUGCAACGCCCAGAGAGCAUAACUAAACAAACAAGAACCAGUGCAGGAUGGGCUCUGUGUCAAGCACAGAGUCCCAGCUGGUAUCGCAAGACCAUCUCUGACUUCCAUGUAAAAGAUAAUUUUAUUUGUACCCCCCUAUGUGCUACGUGUCUUUUUUAUGUGCCCCUACAAGAUAGAACUGCUUCUGUAAACAGUACUAUAAUUUUUUCAGCACCUGUAUUCAACAAAGCAAAUGGGUAAGAGCCUUCCAUUGGAUAAUUGCUGCAGUGAUUAAUUUGUCUCAGCAGCCAACAACUAAUUUCUGUAACGACCAUGUCAGAAGACAUAUCCUGUGGUUUUGGGAAGGGUCAAAUUAUUGGCCCACAUCAAGCAAAGAAAACAUCUAAGGAGAUAGUGUUGAACCAUCCUCUUCCAGGAAGAAAUGUGGUUGAAAAAUCGGAGACCACUUAAACGUUUUGUGACAUCGAAAUGGUAGAAACAGUAAAAUCUAUGUUUAAUAGUGAAAGUAAGAUCAUUUCCACACACAGUGUGAAGAGAGCUCAAGAUAUUGGGACUAAACAGCCUCAAGAAAACCACCUAUCAGUGAGGCUGACUACCUGAAUAUACUGAAUGAGCAGGUUUUUCCAUUAGUGUUUUUUUUCUUCCCUGAUGAAAUGGGCAUAUUCCAAGAUGACAAAGCCCCAGUUCAUCGGGUUCAAAUUGUGAAAGAGUGGUUCAGGCAGCAUGAGGCAUCACAUCACAGAGUCCAGACCUUGACAUCAUUGAGAAUCUUUGGGAUGUGCUGGAGAGGACUUUACACAGCGGCAAUGGAAGUGCAAAGUAGCAGAACAUUGAAAUACUCAUGUCAGCUUUCCACCGCUGGGAGGAGGAGGUUUUCAAGUGCUUAA
rnacentral:lncRNA from 1 species